AGGACGAACGCUGGCGGCGCGCCUAACACAUGCAAGUCGAGCGAGAACCAGGGCUUGCCCUGGGGACAGCGGCGAACGGGUGCGUAACACGUGAGCAACCUGCCCCAAAGACCGGGACAACCCGAGGAAACUCGGACUAAUACCGGAUGCCCUCACCGGGCCGCAUGGUCUGGUGAGGAAAUGGAUUCCGCUUUGGGAUGGGCUCGCGGUCUAUCAGCUUGUUGGUGGGGUAACGCCUACCAAGGCGACGACGGAUAGCUGGUCUGAGAGGACGAUCAGCCACACUGGGACUGAGACACGGCCCAGACUCCUACGGAGGCAGCAGUGGGGAAUCUUGCGCAAUGGGGGAAACCCUGACGCAGCGACGCCGCGUGCGGGAUGAAGGCCUUCGGGUUGUAAACCGCUUUCAGCAGGGACGAAAUUGACGGUACCUGCAGAAGAAGGCCCGGCCAACUACGCGCCAGCAGCCGC
rnacentral:rRNA from 1 species